rnacentral:rRNA from 1 species
UACAGAGGUCCCAAGCGUUGUUCGGAUUCACUGGGCGUAAAGAGCGUGUAGGCGGCCAGACAGGUCCGUUGUGAAAACUCGAGGCUCAACCUCGAGACGCCGAUGGAAACCGUCUGGCUAGAGUCCGGAAGAGGAGAGUGGAAUUCCCGGUGUAGCGGUGAAAUGCGCAGAUAUCGGGAAGAACACCCGUGGCUAAGGCGGCUCUCUAGUACGGUACUGACGCUGAGACGCGAAAGCGUGGGGAGCGAACAGG